AAAGAGGCUGGCCGGGUGCGGUGGCUCACGCCUGUAAUCCCAGCACUUUGGGAGGCCUGAGUGGGUGGAUCACAAGGUCAGGAGAUCGAGACCAUCCUGGCUAACACAGUGAAACCCCGUCUCUACUAAAAAUACAAAAAAUUAGCCAGGCGUGGCGGCAGGCACCUGUAGUCCCAGCUACUCGGGAGGCUGAGGCAGGAGAAUGGC
rnacentral:lncRNA from 10 species